rnacentral:rRNA from 1 species
GUGGGGAAUAUUGGACAAUGGGCGCAAGCCUGAUCCAGCCAUGCCGCGUGCAGGAAGACGCAUCUAUGGUGUGUAAACUGCUUUUGUACGGGAAGAAACACUCCCUCGUGAGGGAGCUUGACGGUACCGUAAGAAUAAGGAUCGGCUAACUCCGUGCCAGCAGCCGCGGUAAUACGGAGGAUCCAAGCGUUAUCCGGAAUCAUUGGGUUUAAAGGGUCCGUAGGCGGUUUAAUAAGUCAGGUGUGAAAGCCCAUCGCUCAACGAUGGAACGGCCAUUGAUACUGUUAGACUUGAAUUACAAGGAAGUAACUAGAAUAUGUAGUGUAGCGGUGAAAUGCUUAGAUAUUACAUGGAAUACCAAUUGCGAAGGCAGGUUACUACUUGUGGAUUGACGCUGAUGGACGAAAGCGUGGGGAGCGAACAGGAUUAGAAACCCUGGUAGUCC